rnacentral:misc_RNA from 1 species
UAUAUAGUAUCCACCUCCAAAUCAAACAACACAGCUAUUAAACUACUUGCUCCUUUUACAUCCAACAAAAGAAAAUGCAAGCAGCUAAAGAAGUAGCUACAUUAGCUCCUCUUUUGGUGCUUACUAUUUGUAAAUGUUGGAACGCAUCCUUAAGAUUAUAUCCUAAUAUGUACAAUUUCAUUUCUACAGAAAGCUUGUUAAAUAUUUACAUUCCGCGCAACUCCAAG